UGGGGAAUAUUGCACAAUGGGCGCAAGCCUGAUGCAGCCAUGCCGCGUGUAUGAAGAAGGCCUUCGGGUUGUAAAGUACUUUCAGUCGGGAGGAAGGUGGUAAGGUUAAUAACCUUAUCAAUUGACGUUACCGACAGAAGAAGCACCGGCUAACUCCGUGCCAGCAGCCGCGGUAAUACGGAGGGUGCAAGCGUUAAUCGGAAUUACUGGGCGUAAAGCGCACGCAGGCGGUUGAUUGAGUCAGAUGUGAAAUCCCCGGGCUUAACCCGGGAAUUGCAUCUGAUACUGGGCAGCUAGAGUCUUGUAGAGGGGGGUAGAAUUCCAUGUGUAGCGGUGAAAUGCGUAGAGAUGUGGAGGAAUACCGGUGGCGAAGGCGGCCCCCUGGACAAAGACUGACGCUCAGGUGCGAAAGCGUGGGGAGCAAACAGG
rnacentral:rRNA from 1 species